AGUUAUUUAGCUUAUUAUUAUAAAGCAAAUGUUUUGAAAGCAUAAGAAAGAGAAAUUUAAUAACUU
rnacentral:tRNA from 1 species